rnacentral:rRNA from 1 species
GAAUUCCGCGAAUCAUCGAGUCUUUGAACGCAACUUGCGCCCGAGGCUUGACCAAGGGCAUUUCUGCCAGAGCGUCACC